AAAUAUUUUAGGCUGUCAAGAUUUUAAGAGUCGGUCUAGAGGCCAAGCAUCGAGGAACAUGAGCUAUGGUAGUGUUUAUUGGAGACAGAGUCAAAGAAUAUCUAGUCAAUUUACUAGAUCAACAGUAAGAUCGUAGACAGGUCAGGAGUUCGUUGCUAGUAUAGUCAGGCAAACCCCAUGCACAAGUUGUAGGAAUUAUCGAGGUCAGUGUCUUGUAGGUGUCAGUGUGUGUUACCAGUGUAGACAGCCAAGACAUUUUAAGAAAAAUUACCUGCAGUUGACACAACAGUUCUGAGGGAUCAGGGAGUUGGGUCUCAGACAAUUGAGUAAUCAAGAGUUUCGGUGGUUUCGAUAGAGGGUACCAGCGAUGCAAGGCAAAAGGGAGUUGUUGGAAGACCUAGGCAAUAUGGAAAGGUCUAUGCGUAUAUUCAACAAGAAGCGGAUGAUGCACUAGACGUUAUUAUUGGAAGGAAGUUGUUUUCAAAAAAUCAGGCUUUGUUGAAGUGGUUUUUAGAGGUAUGUUGAAUAUCAUUCCUAGGAGUUUAAUCUCAGUUUUGAAAGCUGAGAAAUUGCUGAGGAAAGAUUGCACAACGUUUCUUGCACACUUGGUAGGAGUACAAAGAGAAAAGGUGAAGCCAGAAGAUAUUAUUGUGGAACAACACCUAUUUCACAGGCACCGUACAGAAUGGCUUCGAGCGAGCUUAAAGAGCUAAAGGUGCAGUUACAAGAAUUGGUUGACAAGGGAUACAUCAGGUUGAGUGUAUCGACUUGGGGAGCACCAUUGCUAUUUGUGAAAAAGAAAGAUGGUGCCUUCAGAUUGUGUAUUGACUAUAGGUAGUUAAACAAGGUUACGAUACGUAACAAGUAUCCUUUACUACAUAUCGAUGACUUAUUUAAUUAGCUAAGGGGAAUAACAUUGUCUCUAAGAUUGAUUUAAGGUUAAAAUACCACCAGUUGAAGGUUAGAGAAUCAUAUAUUUCUAAGAUAACAUUCAAAACAAGGUAUGGACACUAUGCGUUUCGAGUUAUGUCAUUUAGUUUAACGAAUGUAUCAGCGGUUUUCAUGGAUCUUA